rnacentral:rRNA from 1 species
AUGAAUCUAGCACGUACAACAGGGUGUAGCAAAAUCGAGAUCAACUCAGAUAGUUUGGAAGUGGUAGAAGCUCUAAAGGAGGGCUACUCUUCAUCAGUUGCUAGUGCCAUUUUCGAUGAUUGUUAUUUCAUGUCCUUAGAUUUCAAUCAUGUCAUUUAUGCUCAUUGUAAUAGAGAGAGUAAUGUGGUAGCUCAUGAGUUUGCUAGGUUGGCUAAAUUUUCUACUACUGAUUGUUGGUUGGAUACUGCCCCUAGUGCGGUUAUCCCGUUGCUUGUAAACGAUGCUACUGUUUUGAUGCUUGAAUAA